rnacentral:misc_RNA from 1 species
GAGAGAGAGAGAGAGAGAGAGAAACCUGAGCAUCAAAAGAGUUGUUAUACAUUAUCUCAUUGUUAAGCCCCUUUCUGAUCUCAUUCAUAUCCCACAGGAAGAUGGCAUCUGUGUUAGGAUUGUGACCUGGCUGAUGAUGAUGAUUUACCCAAUGAAACAGAAGCAAGGGAAGAAGCCCAAACCCGGAAAUUUUUGGUGCCUUCAUGGAGAUUCCUCAUCUUGCGUAAUCUUAGCCUGGUCCAAAUCCUCCUCACAUCAAUCAUAUGCAGGAUACGGCCAAAUAAUUGACUUGUCUCACCAAAUAUUUCCAAUUUGAAAUGAGGAACAUAUGACCCAUAGAAAGCCUUGAGAUGAGAUAAAACCUUUGGAGAUAUAAAUAGCAGUACUCGUAUACAAACGAACAACAUAGCAAAUACUAAGUAGCUUUCCCUUUUCAUCAUCUCCUCCAUGGAAGAGCCAUCCCAUGGUUGCAUGAUUGAGUCUUCAAGAGCAUCCAAAAUUCUUAGCUCAUCUUCAGCAAAAUACUGAACUGGUUUGAGUCCCGUUGUUAUCUCAUAAAAUUGAACAAGCGAUUGGAGAUUCUUCGGCCCAUGAUAUUGCACCUUAGAUGUCUGGUUGACCAGUAAUAUUGAUGGCAAGCUAUGAAUUCCAUAUCUUGAAAACAUGCUCGGGAGGGCUGAAGAUUGCUCAAUAGCCAAAUGCUCAAUUUGAGGGAACAUUGAACCUAGCAUACUAAAUUUAGGACGCAUAUUUUGAGAAAAUGGGCACCAGGAAGCAUAGAAGAGGACAGAUGUAUAUGAGGUUCUCUGUUUUGAAGUCAAAGCUCUGUCCAGGAAGUUCUCGCCAACAUCGAGAGGGGGAUUUGGAAAGAUAGAGACAGGGCAUGUAGACUGAAGAUCAUAUAAAAAGAAAGCAGAUUCAUCAGGGCAAAUAAAUUCCGACGCCAACAGGAAUGGAAUCGACGACAAAACCGCAACAUAGAGCCAGAGAACAGAAAGCAGAGCCAUUUCAGGGGCAGAAACGAGAAUAAACAACAGCUCCUAGGGCAAAAUAGGGAAACGCAAAAGACCCAACAACCGAAAAUGGAUGCACAGAGAAUCAAGGAGAAGAAUGAAAGAAAGAAAUGGCGAUCCCUCUCUUUGUGUUUAAUAAUAAUAAUAAUAAUAAUA